AAACGAAGAUCAGGCAAUCAAAUUUAUCCUCUACGGGUCGUCCUUAAAACCACGCUUCUGAUUGCCUGUGAGAGGUUUGAUUGAUAAGCUCAUACAAGCAUUUUGGUUUUGCCCCAGGAGGUCAUAUAGGUGUGACUGCUCAUACUGUUGGGUCCAGACUCCCUACAUGUGUUGGCUCUACAGCUCAGAUAGUGGGACUGCUUGCCCAUCCUCUCAUUUGCCAUUGGUUUUUGUUAUUGGUUGCAAAUUCAUUUCUAUUGAACUCAAUGUUAUUCAGCCUUUUAGUUUGUACUUUAUACUUUUUAUGAAGAAGUUCCAGCUUUUUAAUCAGGGAACUCAGCUUUCUAUGAAAUAGUUUCAGCUCCAUGUUUCUUUUCUAAGACAUGGUUAGAAUUAUCAAUCCCAUCAAUUUGUGAUCAGAUAAUCUGAAAU